rnacentral:rRNA from 1 species
CCUACGGGAGGCAGCAGUGAGGAAUAUUGGUCAAUGGGCGCGAGCCUGAACCAGCCAAGUAGCGUGAAGGAAGACUGCCCUACGGGUUGUAAACCUCUUUUAUAAAGGAAUAAAGUGAGGCACGUGUGACUUUUUGUAUGUACUUUAUGAAUAAGGAUCGGCUAACUCCGUGCCAGCAGCCGCGGUAAUACGGAGGAUUCGAGCGUUAUCCGGAUUUAUUGGGUUUAAAGGGAGCGUAGAUGGGUUGUUAAGUCAGGUGUGAAAGUUUGCGGCUCAACCGUAAAAUUGCAAUUGAUACUGGCUGUCUCGAGUACGGUUGAGGUAGGCGGAAUUCGUGGUGUAGCGGUGAAAUGCUUAGAUAUCACGCAGAACUCCGAUUGCGAAGGCAGCUUACUAGCCUGCCACUGACGUUGAGGCUCGAAAGUGUGGGUAUCAAACAGGAUUAGAUACCCUUGUAGUC